CGGUGUUCAACUGGCGUGUCCGCGGGACGUCCUGCCGGUGGGCUUAGCCCGCAAGGGCGGCCCAACUUCAAAUCCCAUCGCGGUGCUCUUCACUGAGUGUCGAGGUGGGCCGGCACGUUUACUUUGAACAAAUUAGAGUGCUUAAAGCAGGCUAAAACUUCGCCUGAAUACUGUGUGCAUGGAAUAAUGGAAUAGGACCUCGGUUCUAUUUUGUUGGUUUUCGGAACCCCGAGGUAAUGAUUAAUAGGAACGGAUGGGGGCAUUCGUAUUGCGACGUUAGAGGUGAAAUUCUUGGAUCGUCGCAAGACGGACAGAAGCGAAAGCAUUUGCCAAAAACGCUUUCAUUGAUCAAGAACGAAAGUUAGAGGUUCGAAGGCGAUCAGAUACCGCCCUAGUUCUAACCAUAAACGAUGCCAGCUAGCGAUCCGUCGACGUUCCUCCGAUGACUCGACGGGCAGCUUCCGGGAAACCAAAGCUUUUGGGUUCCGGGGGAAGUAUGGUUGCAAAGCUGAAGCUUAAAGGAAUUGACGGAAGGGCACCACCACGAGUGGAGCCUGCGGCUUAAUUUGACUCAACACGGGAAACCUCACCAGGCCCGGACACCGGAAGGAUUGACAGAUUGAGAGCUCUUUCUUGAUUCGGUGGGUGGUGGUGCAUGGCCGUUCUUAGUUGGUGGAGCGAUUUGUCUGGUUAAUUCCGAUAACGAACGAGACUCUAGCCUGCUAACUAGGCGUAUUUUCGACAUCUCAAAGGUCCGUCGUCCCGGCCCUCGGGUCGUGGGCGUGCGCGAUUUUUACUGUCGGCGUACUAUCAAUUCUUCUUAGAGGGACAGGUGGCUUCUAGCCGCACGAGAUUGAGCAAUAACAGGUCUGUGAUG
rnacentral:rRNA from 1 species